rnacentral:rRNA from 1 species
UACAGAGGUCUCAAGCGUUGUUCGGAUUCAUUGGGCGUAAAGGGUGCGUAGGCGGCGCGGUAAGUCGGGUGUGAAAUCUUGGAGCUUAACUCCGAAACUGCAUUCGAUACUGGCGUGCUUGAGGACUGGAGAGGAGACUGGAAUUCAUGGUGUAGCAGUGAAAUGCGUAGAGAUCAUGAGGAAGACCAGUGGCGAAGGCGGGUCUCUGGACAGUUCCUGACACUGAGGCACGAAGGCCAGGGGAGCAAACGGG